rnacentral:tRNA from 1 species
GAGGGUAUAUCUCAGUGGUAGAGUGCAUGCUUAGCAUGCACGAGGUCAUAGGUUCAAUCCCUAAUACCUCCA